GUCGGGAUAGCUCAGUGGUAGAGCAGAGGA
rnacentral:ncRNA from 2 species